UGGAGGAAAAAAAAAAGGCUUGAUGAAUCACUUCUGAAGGCUACAACUGCUGAUCACCAGAAAAAAUUAAGAAAGAGUAGAUAGUCUCUAAUCAUACUUGAAAUAGUUUUGGAAUAAAUAAAUAACAGGAAUAAAUUACAGCACAAACACCAGUAGAGUGAUUAUCCUAUGUAAUUUGAUUCUUUCCCAAAAGGAAGAGAGAAAUGAAGAAAAAAUCAAGCUAAAAGAAAUGAAACGAUUAAACAGUUCAAUAACUGUUUUAGUGGGAUUUAUCACUGGUAACAGACAAGACUGACUACUCUUUCUUCAUAAGGAUCAAAUGAAUGAGGUACAUUUAACAAAUACCCAAAAACUUUCUUUAACAUGCUACAUAAAAAGGAGGGACUGAAAUGGUAAACCAGCAAUUAAUUUUCAAUCAUUAUCAUAAAUGUGUAUGAGUGUAUGUGGGUGUGUGGGUGGCAAAUUCCUUCAAAAUUUCUACAGGCGCAAGUCUUUCACCAAGGGAAUAAAUUUGCUGCCUGCACGUCGCUGGAAGGUACGAGUAAACAAUGUUCAUGCAUAUUAGGUUCCAUUUCUCAGAGAAGACAAGGUCAAGUUAUAAAAUCAGAUAUCUAAGAGUUAUUUGUACCAUCCACUCACAAAGACAACAGUGGAUUAUGUUUAAUCUUUCAUCAUUCUAAAUAAAAAGAAAUUUCACUUUCUUACAUUGGUUGCAUUGUAAGUCAAAUAUAUUCUUGCUGUCUUCUACUUACCUAUGAUAAUAAGCAAGUCUUUCAUGGACACAUUCAGGCACUGAGACAACCACACACAUCUUAAUAGAAAAUCAUGCAAAUGUACUUACACUUCCAAACCUUAUACACAGAGAGCCUGAUUUGAGAAUUUUAGAUAGUCAAAGUGAAACUUGCAAGUGAAUACAUACAUAAAUAACAAAAAGACAAUAAAAGAAAUGAACAGUAGGGAGAAAUUAGAAUAUGAAAAUGAAAAAAA